rnacentral:rRNA from 1 species
UACGGAGGGGGCUAGCGUUGUUCGGAAUUACUGGGCGUAAAGGGCGCGUAGGCGGCCCUCCUAGUCGCGUGUGAAAGCCCCGGGCUCAACCUGGGAACGGCGCGCGAAACGGGGGGGCUGGAGUUCGGGAGAGGAGCGUGGAAUUCCCAGUGUAGAGGUGAAAUUCGUAGAUAUUGGGAAGAACACCGGUGGCGAAGGCGGCGCUCUGGACCGAGACUGACGCUGAGGCGCGGAAAGCGUGGGGAGCAAACAGG